rnacentral:rRNA from 1 species
CCUACGGGUGGCUGCAGUGGGGAAUAUUGCACAAUGGGGGAAACCCUGAUGCAGCGACGCCGCGUGAGGGAUGAAGUAUUUCGGUUUGUAAAGCUCUAUCAGUAGGGAAGAAAAUGACGGUACCUGAUUAAUAAGCCCCGGCUAACUACGUGCCAGCAGCCGCGGUAAUACGGAGGGGGCAAGCGUUAUCCGGAUUUACUGGGCGUAAAGGGCGCGUAGACGGGAGCGCAAGUCAGGAGUGAAAUGCCAGGGCUUAACCCCGGAACUGCUUUUGAAACUGUGCAGCUAGAGUGCAGGAGAGGUAAGUGGAAUUCGUAGUGUAGAGGUGAAAUGCGUAGAGAUUAAGAGGAAUAC